GAUGGGAGUUGUAGUUCUCUGGGACUCCGUCCUCCUACAGAACGAUAGGGGCAGACAGGUUAUUUGUCGAGGGACACACACAUCUUUUAAGAGAUGAGUCAGUCGUCGUCACCUACGUUAUGACUGUUGAAAGAAUGAUGAAAUGAAUAAAAUGAAUGAAUGGCUCCCGAAACUACCACUGAGGAGUUCCCGACCGUCGCUAAGUGACGUGAGACUUGUGAAGAACUCAAGCAUCCUACAAACAUUUAAUCUGAAUUUAAUGUGACAAGGGAUGUGACAGAUGGAUGUACGGAGCGAUGUGGGAAUACAUAAUGGGACGCGGAGUCCAUCAUGAGUUCAGAGAAAAGCUUCUGGACAUUGGAAUUGAGUCCUGAAGAAUGAGUUAGCAUCUGCGAGUGGUUAAAGGAAAAAAAGGUGCUGUGCAGAAGAAAAUGAGUGUAAGAAACGAUGUAUGUGGGAACCCUAAGUAAUUCAGUGCCCCUACACUGUCAAUCUAGGGCUGCAAACUCAAAUGUCUGCAUUAAAGGAAGCAACUAGGAAAAUCAACGCCCAGGAGAGCUGGGGCUGUUGAAAACUGCAGGAGGUAUUUCUGCUGAAAGUAGGGCCGACCCUAUUCAGCCAGAAAAAUCACUGGAUAUUACCAUUAGACCUCCUGACUGGGGACCAAAGAUGCAGGGAAGAAGGAAGAGCCAGACACGGAGAGUUCCAACCGUAACUGUCUUAACUCGCUGAGGAUAUUUGGUCAGAGCUAUGUGAAUGAAG
rnacentral:lncRNA from 10 species